rnacentral:rRNA from 1 species
GUAACUACGUUACAGCGUCGGGUGUAGUGCGUAGGGUGCGAGGUGUUGCCGGAAUUGCUGGGCGGAAAGCGUGGGUAGGGGGGUUGUGUCGUCGUCUGUGAAAUUCCGGGACUGAACGCCGGGCGUGCAGGCUAUACGGGCAUAACUUGAGUACUGUAAGGGAUAAUGGAAUUCCUUGUGUAUCUGUGAAAUGCGCAGAUAUCAGGAGGAACACCGGUGGCGAAGGCGGGUCUCUGGGCAGUAACUGACGCUGAGGAUCGAAAGCAUGGGUAGCGAACAGGAUUAGAUACCCGAGUAGUC